CUAACGGGUGAGUAACACGUGAGUAACCUGCCCACAACUUUGGGAUAACGCUAGGAAACUGGUGCUAAUACUGGAUAUGUGCUCCUGCUGCAUGGUGGGGGUUGGAAAGCUCCGGCGGUUGUGGAUGGACUCGCGGCCUAUCAGCUUGUUGGUGGGGUAGUGGCCUACCAAGGCGGCGACGGGUAGCCGGCCUGAGAGGGUGACCGGCCACAUUGGGACUGAGAUACGGCCCAG
rnacentral:rRNA from 1 species